rnacentral:rRNA from 1 species
UACGGAGGGUGCGAGCGUUAAUCGGAAUUACUGGGCGUAAAGCGCACGCAGGCGGUUUGUUAAGCUAGAUGUGAAAGCCCCGGGCUCAACCUGGGAUGGUCAUUUAGAACUGGCAGACUAGAGUCUUGGAGAGGGGAGUGGUAUUCCAGGUGUAGCGGUGAAAUGCGUAGAUAUCUGGAGGAACAUCAGUGGCGAAGGCGACUCCCUGGCCAAAGACUGACGCUCAUGUGCGAAAGUGUGGGUAGCGAACAGG